rnacentral:rRNA from 1 species
AAUGAACGUUGGCGGUGCGCCUUAUGCAUGCAAGUCGAACGGGGUUAUAUUCUUCGGAUUGUAACCUAGUGGCGAACGGCUGAGUAACACGUAAGUAACCUGCCUUGGAGUGGGAAAUAACCUGCCGAAAGGCGAGCUAAUGUCCCAUGUGAUAGCGAAGUUGAUGCUUUGUUAUUAAAGCCUUAGGGUGCUCCAAGAGGGGCUUGCGUCUGAUUAGCUAGUUGGUAGGGUAAUGGCCUACCAAGGCUGUGAUCGGUAGCUGGUCUGAGAGGAUGGUCAGCCAGAUGGGGACUGGGAUACGGCCCCAACUCCUACGGGAGGCAGCAGCAAGGAAUCUUGGGCAAUGAGCGAAAGCUUGACCCAGCGACACCGCGUGAGGGAUGAAGGCCUUCGGGUUGUAAACCUCUUUUCUUGGGGAAGAAUUCUGACGGUACCCAAGGAAUAAGCCUCGGCCAACUACGUG